rnacentral:rRNA from 1 species
GUGGGGAAUCUUGCGCAAUGGGCGAAAGCCUGACGCAGCCAUGCCGCGUGAAUGAUGAAGGUCUUAGGAUUGUAAAAUUCUUUCACCGGGGACGAUAAUGACGGUACCCGGAGAAGAAGCUCCGGCUAACUUCGUGCCAGCAGCCGCGGUAAUACGAAGGGGGCUAGCGUUGCUCGGAAUUACUGGGCGUAAAGGGCGCGUAGGCGGACAGCUUAGUCAGAGGUGAAAGCCCAGGGCUCAACCUUGGUAUUGCCUUUGAUACUGGCUGUCUUGAGUUUGGGAGAGGUGAGUGGAACUCCGCGUGUAGAGGUGAAAUUCGUAGAUAUACGGAAGAACACCAGUGGCGAAGGCGACUCACUGGCCCAAUACUGACGAUGAGGCGCGAAAGCGUGGGGACCAAACAGGAUUAGAUACCCCAGUAGUCC